UGUGUAGGCGGGUAUUUAAGUCAGUGGUGAAAUCUCCGGGCUCAACCCGGAAACUGCCAUUGAUACUAUAUAUCUUGAAUACUGUUGAGGUAGGCGGAAUAUGUCAUGUAGCGGUGAAAUGCAUAGAUAUGACAUAGAACACCAAUUGCGAAGGCAGCUUACUAAGCAGUUAUUGACGCUGAGGCACGAAAGCGUGGGGAUCAAACAGGAUUAGAUACCCUGGUAGUCCACGCCCUAAACGAUGAUUACUCGACAUACGCGAUACACAGUGUGUGUCUGAGCGAAAAGCAUUAAGUAAUCCACCUGGGAAGUACGACCGCAAGGUUGAA
rnacentral:rRNA from 1 species